AUACGGGGGGUGCAAGCGUUAAUCGGAAUUACUGGGCGUAAAGCGCGCGUAGGCGGUUUGCUCAGUCGGAUGUGAAAGCCCAGGGCUCAACCUUGGAACUGCAUACGAUACUGGCAAACUAGAGUGUGAGAGAGGAUAGUGGAAUUUCCGGUGUAGCGGUGAAAUGCGUAGAUAUCGGAAGGAACAUCAGUGGCGAAGGCGACUGUCUGGCUCAACACUGACGCUGAGGUGCGAAAGCGUGGGGAGCAAACAGGAUUAGAUACCCUAGUAGUCC
rnacentral:rRNA from 1 species